UUUUUUUUGGUAUUACAAAAAUUAUUUGGUUACCAUAAAAGAUACUUUAAUAAUAAAAAAACACAAUCAAAUAUUUGAAAAUAAAAAUAAAUAUCAUUAUAUAAAAUAUACUGUAAACAUUGCUAAUAUUGUUAAAUAUAACUAAUUGUUGAACAUAAAAAAUAACAUUAUACAACAAUACAAAUUUAAAAAAAAAAAGUUCAAGAACAAUUGCCAAAAUUGUUCAAUCUUUCACGUUAACUUGACCAAUAUCCCCUAAUUAUCGAGCAUCAAACAUUGUUUCAG
rnacentral:lncRNA from 1 species